ensembl:snRNA U6 U6 spliceosomal RNA
GUGCUCACUUUGGCAGCACAUAUACUAAAAAUUGGAACAAUACAGAGAAGAUUAGCAUGGCUCUUGCACAAGGAUAAAACGCAAAUUUGUGAAGCGUUCCAUAUUUUU